AACGCAAAUCGCGCUCGAGGCCCCGGCCGAGAGCAUGCCUGCCUCAGCGUCUUUCUCACCCCUCCCCGCCCUUCCGCGGAAGGGCCGGGGGAUCUGGUCGUUUCGAUCGCCCGCAUCGAAUCGGCUGAAAGGCAGAAGCGCCCUCCCCUCACACAGGGUGACCGAAAGGUGGCAGCCUGCGGGCCGACCCGAUCGGUGCUCGAGGCGGCGGCGGCGCUGGCGUCCGGAGACACCAUGGCUCUGACCUGAGUUCAUGCAAGAUCACCCGCUGAACUUAA
rnacentral:misc_RNA from 1 species